rnacentral:rRNA from 1 species
AUUGAACGCUGGCGGCAUGCCUUACACAUGCAAGUCGAACGGCAGCACGGGGGCAACCCUGGUGGCGAGUGGCGAACGGGUGAGUAAUACAUCGGAACGUGUCCUGUAGUGGGGGAUAGCCCGGCGAAAGCCGGAUUAAUACCGCAUACGCUCUACGGAGGAAAGGGGGGGAUCUUAGGACCUCCCGCUACAGGGGCGGCCGAUGGCAGAUUAGCUAGUUGGUGGGGUAAAGGCCUACCAAGGCGACGAUCUGUAGCUGGUCUGAGAGGACGACCAGCCACACUGGGACUGAGACACGGCCCAGACUCCUACGGGAGGCAGCAGUGGGGAAUUUUGGACAAUGGGCGAAAGCCUGAUCCAGCAAUGCCGCGUGUGUGAAGAAGGCCUUCGGGUUGUAAAGCACUUUUGUCCGGAAAGAAAAACGCCGUGG